GGUAAGAUGGCCGAAUGUUAGGCGGUGGGUUGUAGCCCCAAUCACGUAGGUUAAAUUCCUAUUUUUACCA
rnacentral:tRNA from 1 species